GGGCCUGUAGCAUAACCUGGAAGUGCGGUCGGCUUCGGACCGAUUGAUUGGGGUUCAAAUCCUCACAGGCUCG
rnacentral:tRNA from 1 species